rnacentral:rRNA from 1 species
AUUGAACGCUGGCGGCAUGCUUUACACAUGCAAGUCGAACGGUAACAGGUUAAGCUGACGAGUGGCGAACGGGUGAGUAAUGCAUCGGAACGUGCCCGAUCGUGGGGGAUAACGCAGCGAAAGCUGCGCUAAUACCGCAUACGAUCUGAGGAUGAAAGCGGGGGACCGUAAGGCCUCGCGCGAUCGGAGCGGCCGAUGUCAGAUUAGGUAGUUGGUGGGGUAAAGGCCCGCCAAGCCGACGAUCUGUAGCUGGUCUGAGAGGACGGCCAGCCACACUGGGACUGAGACACGGCCCAGACUCCUACGGGAGGCAGCAGUGGGGAAUUUUGGACAAUGGGCGAAAGCCUGAUCCAGCAAUGCCGCGUGCAGGAAGAAGGCCUUCGGGUUGUAAACUGCUUUUGUACGGAGCGAAAAGGUCCUUUCUAAUACAAGGGGCUCAUGACGGUACCGUAAGAAUAAGCACCGGCUAACUACGUGCCAGCAGCCGCCGUAAGAC